GUCGAACACCAGGGGAGCCAAUAUGCGGCUGAGAGUUUCGAGUCAUUCUCGAAAGACCCUGCUAACCUGAAGCGGAUAAUACCGACGCAGGAACAGUGAGCAAGAUCGAUG
rnacentral:ncRNA from 1 species